rnacentral:lncRNA from 1 species
GAAGGAAAAACAUCUCCAGUGCAUGUUUGCAGAAGGGUUGUAUCACGAAGAAAAAUCUGAGGGUCUUCCAACAUGGUUAUUGAUUAGAAACCCCUUAUUUCAUCAGGAGCUUAUGCACUUGGAAAACUUCUCCAGCAUUGGAAAUGAGCCAUCGUGGACAGUAGCAGGGGAUUCUUCUGGAAGCCCUCCAGGCAUGGGCACAGGGUCCCAGCUGGCAGAGGGGUCUUCGUGCAUCGGUGCUGCCUUUAAACAAACAACCACUGCUGUUUUGCUGAUGGCGUGUGCGGAUAGAUCUGUAGCCAGUUUGUGCCGUUUAACAGUUGAAGGAAAAUAAAAAAGGAAACAUUAAAGCUUUUUCCCACCUUGAAACCUGAAGAAAUCCGCCUGCUCCAAACCAGAGAGGCGUGCAUCACUAAUAUCCAGGGGAAAAAG